UAAGAGCGACAGAGUGAGAGAAAUUGUUUGGCUUUAAAAAUAAGGGAGAGAGGUUGAAAGAGAGAGAGAGGGAGGUAGGGAGAGAGAGGGUUGGGGUUUAAUUAGAAAGAGGAUAGAAGAAUAGAUGGAGCUUUGUGUGUGUGUGUGGGGGGGGGGGGGGGGGGGGGGGGGGAGGGAAGAUUGCAGGUAGAGAUCAGAGGAUUGGGGUGAGUGACUUGGUCGGGAAGGCAAUGGAGAGAAUUAGAGGCAUAGAGGGAAGAGGAGAAAGCACUGGGAGGAAAAGAGAAAAUGGCGCGAGAGGGAAGAAGAAUGAGAUCGGAUGAGACAAGUAGGAGAUUUAGAGAGAGAAAAAGAGAGAAAGAGAGAGAGAGACAGAGAGAGAAAGACAGAGAGAGAGAGAGAGAGAGAGAGAGAGAGAGAGAGAGAGAGAGAGAGAGAGAGAGAGAGAGAGAGAAAGAGAGAGAAAGAGAGAGCAAGAGAGAGAGAGAGAGAGAGAGAGAGAGAGAUAUGGAGGGGGGGAAAGAGAAAGCGAGUGAGAGACACAGGGAUAGAGAUAGAAAGAGAGAGAGUGACAGAGAGAGAGAGAGAGAGAGAGAGAGAGAGACAGAGAGAGAGAGAGAGACAGAGAGAGAGAGAGACAGAGAGAGAGAGAGAGAGAGAGAGAGACAGAGAGAGAGCCAGGGAGAAACAAAGGCGAUGCUAUUUCAAGGCCGUGCCUACUGAUAAUGUCACUCUACCUCAAUGUGCAAAGCGUCACUGUCACGUCUCCACCGGCGUCCCUGGAGGAUUUCCUUAUAGAUCAGAUAACAAGCAGACGCCUGACAGCACAUUCUAUAUGACACCUCGAAGGCUGAAUGGUGACAGAAUUAAUUGGAACUGCUGCCCUCUCCUGCCACUCUGUCUCCAUCUGUACAGUGAGGCUCGGGUCCAGGCUGAGGUCCAGGCUGAUGUCCAGGCUGAGAUCCACAGUUAGGUCCAGGUUGAUGUCCAUGUUGGGGACGGUCUGAAACGGCGCGGGGGAGGUCCGAGCGGAAGGUCUCCUAUAUCAUCGAGGUGUGAAAACACUGCUCCAUCUCAUCGCUGCUGGUCCUGCUAUACUCAUGCCGCUCUGUCUGCUAUGGCUUUUUAUUCCUAUGUGAUGUUGAAACAUGCUCACAUGGAAACAGAAGCCAUUUUAGACACCGUGAGAGAACCACACGACAGAGAUACUCCUUCACCCACAACAUGUCACCUCUCAAUACUUCCCCCGUGCUAACAACGAUCCAGCCAUGCUCAUCUUGACAAUGUGUUUGCUUAUUCAAGCUCUGAAGAUCAACUUGUCGUAUGUGUACUUGGUUCUGGCUUGAGACACACCGGCCUGUCCUGCUGCAGACGUUUAACUGACGACAGUUAGGCCAGCUUGCCAUGUUUUGUGUUUUUACAAGAGAAUUACGAUAGGAGGAUUCAUUAAGAACAAUAAUGAUUGAACCGAUUUGAAGCAUAAUAAAUCUAGAGCCAAGUCGAGGUCAACGUGACAAGCAGUCAGCCCGGUUGUUGUAAAAAAUGAAUGUGGGAGUUCGGAACGUGUGUGAAGCAAAGCAUCAAGAAGGAAGACACAAAGCAGGAGCCACCGAUACAGAUCUUUAUUAGCCAACUUGAAAAGGGGCACUUGGUGAACCACUUGACAGCCUGCAGGCAUUGCAUUUCCCUUUCUGCUUGCUCUUUGUCUCUUAUACACAUUAUUAAAAUAAAUCUUUGACAUGAAGCAUUACACCAGAAAAUAAACUACCUACAUUAUUAUACAAUAUAAGAUACAGUAUGAACAGGAUACAGCACCUUUUCUGUGUUCUAGCAAAUACAUGAGGGUUGAUUAAAAAGUUGGAGUACGGACA